rnacentral:rRNA from 1 species
UACAGAGGGGGCAAGCGUUGUUCGGAAUUACUGGGCGUAAAGGGCGCGUAGGCGGCCUUCUAAGUCGAACGUGAAAUCCCCGGGCUCAACCCGGGAACUGCGUCCGAGACUGGAAGGCUUGAAUCCGGGAGAGGGAUGUGGAAUUCCAGGUGUAGCGGUGAAUGCGUAGAUAUCUGGAGGAACAUCGGUGGCGAAGGCAGGUCUCUGGGCUGACACUGACGCUCAUGCACGAAAGCGUGGGGAGCAAACAGG